CGACAAGCGGAGGAGCAUGUGGUUUAAUUCGUAUGAUACGCGAGGAACCUUACCUGGGCUCGAACGUAAGAUGACUGUAGGUGAAAGCUUACAUCUCUUCGGAGCAUUUUACGAGGUGCUGCAUGGUUGUCGUCAGCUCGUGCCGUGAGGUGUCGGGUUAAGUCCCAUAACGAGCGCAACCCCUACCUUUAGUUGCCAUCAGGUUAAGCUGGGGACUCUAAAGGAACUGCCUACGCAAGUAGUGAGGAAGGCGGGGAUGACGUCAAAUCAGCACGGCCCUUACGUCCAGGGCUACACACGUGCUACAAUGGCCGAUACAGAGGGCAGCUACCUGGUGACAGGAUGCAAAUCUCCAAAGUCGGUCUCAGUUCGGAUCGGAGUCUGCAACCCGACUCCGUGAAGUUGGAUUCGCUAGUAAUCGCGCAUCGGCCAUGGCGCGGUGAAUACGUUCCCGGGCCUU
rnacentral:rRNA from 1 species